AUAAGCCCAUGUAUUGGCAUUCUGUUUCCUUUUGAGUGUUUCUUUUGACGUCUCAGCGUCUCUUUUCGGUGUUUUGUUUCGGCGUGCGUUAGCCGAGCUACGAGUGCUAGUGUUUCUUUUGACGUCUCAGCGUCUCUUUUCGGUGUUUUGUUUCGGCGUGCGUUAGCCGAGCUACGAGUGCUCUGAUUCUUACUCUGGAUAGAGAAGAUACGUAGGCAUAGG
rnacentral:lncRNA from 1 species